rnacentral:lncRNA from 1 species
CCACAAGUUGGGAGGAAGCAGCAAGUCUGGGAGUAGGAGUUCUUCCAGUUCGGUUGUGAAUGGGGGAGCUUUGACAAAGCUUGGCAGGUCCGAGAGCUCGUGCAGUUCUGGUAUCGAAUCAUCUGGAACGGAAGAUUACAGGUCAUUACAUGAAAAAGCUACAGUUACCUCGAAGGCCGAUGUCGAAGAAAAAGAAACGAUGUCCAGGGGCAUGGCGAAGCUCGACGUUGAUAGCUCCAGCACUGCCGACCGAGAGGAUGACUCCUGUGAAGGACCUUCCAG